rnacentral:rRNA from 1 species
GAUGAACGCUGGCGGCGUGCCUAAUACAUGCAAGUCGAACGAACGGACGAGGAGCUUGCUUCUCUGAUGUUAGCGGCGGACGGGUGAGUAACACGUGGAUAACCUACCUAUAAGACUGGGAUAACUUCGGGAAACCGGAGCUAAUACCGGAUGAUAUUUUGAACCGCAUGGUUCAAUAGUGAAAGACGGUUUUGCUGUCACUUAUAGCUGGAUCCGCGCUGCAUUAGCUAGUUGGUAAGGUCAUGGCUUACCAAGGCAACGAUGCGUAGCCGACCUGAGAGGGUGAUCGGCCACACUGGAACUGAGACACGGUCCAGACUCCUACGGGAGGCAGCAGUAGGGAAUCUUCCGCAAUGGGCGAAAGCCUGACGGAGCAACGCCGCGUGAGUGAUGAAGGUCUUCGGAUCGUAAAACUCUGUUAUUAGGGAAGAACAUAUGUGUAAGUAACUGUGCACAUCUUGACGGUACCUAAUCAGAAAGCCACGGCUAACUACGUG